rnacentral:rRNA from 1 species
GGAUUCUGAGACACGAAUCCAGGCCCUACGGGGUGCAGCAGGCGCGAAAAACUUUACAAUGCGGGAAACCGUGAUAAGGGGAUCUCGAGUGCCAGCAUAUAAUGUUGGCUGUCCAGAUGCCUAAAAAGCAUCUGUUAGCAAGGGCCGGGCAAGACCGGUGCCAGCCGCCGCGGUAACACCGGCGGCCCGAGUGGUAACCGCUAUUAUUGGGUCUAAAGGGUCUGUAGCCGGCCAGGUAAGUCCCUUGGGAAAUCUGGCAGCUCAACUGUCAGGCUGCUAGGGGAUACUGUUUGGCUUGGGACCGGGAGAGGUGAGAGGUACCUUGGGGGUAGGGGUGAAAUCUUGUGAUCCUCGAGGGACCACCAGUGGCGAAGGCGUCUCACCAGAACGGGUCCGACGGUAAGGGACGAAAGCUAGGGGCACGAACCGGAUUAGAUACCCGGGUAGUCCUAGCCGUAAACGAUGCUCGCUAGGUGUCAGUCACGGUGCGACCGUGAUUGGUGCCGUAGGGAAGCCGUGAAGCGAGCCACCUGGGAAGUAUGGCCGCAAGGCUGAAACUUAAAGGAAUUGGCGGGGGAGCACUACAACGGGUGGAGCCUGCGGUUUAAUUGGAUUCAACGCCGGAAAUCUCACCGGGGGCGACAGCGAUAUGAAGGUCAGGCUGAAGACUUUACCGGAUUAGCUGAGAGGUGGUGCAUGGCCGUCGUCAGUUCGUACUGUGAAGCAUCCUGUUAAGUCAGGUAACGAGCGAGACCCA